CGUAAACAGCAAAAACAGAUGUUUUCAUCCUCAUUGUUUUCAACACUUUAAAUAACCAAGUUUUUAAAGUUAUGUGAUUGACACCUUGUAAUGGGUCCUUGACAACUCUUAACUGCAGCAAGAUGGCAGAUUAUCAGCAUAAGAGAAGCAGGGAUGUCGCUGUAACAAUUGCACGUAUUGUUGGUCAUCACCAUUCCACUAUAAGUCGUUUUGAGAAUAAAAAUCAGGCAAUAAACGCUGUUAAAGACCUUCCAAGAUAAUGAAGACCCCCUAUACCAUUUGCUAGGGAAAAUCAAGCAUAAUGAAGGUUGGUCAGAAGGAAACCCAUUGCAUACAAGACAAUCCUAAAAAGAGAGUGGUGGUCAUACAGGAGCCUUUUAACAAGAACUGUUCGAGAUCGACUCAUCGCUACUGGUUAUCGUGCGACAAGACCAUUUCAGAGACCUUUGCUAACGAACAGAUACACAGUUUUCCGUAUCACACGUAGUGGAGAGCUCGCCAAAGUUGGAAAUUAGCAUCGUGGAGGAAGAUUCAAUGUUCAAAUGGAAUUCGGUUCAUCUUCCUUGGCCCGAUCGUAGCCCGGAUUUGAACCAUAUCGAGCAUAUUUGGGACACUAUUGGGCGGAAAGUGCGCGAAAGGACACCCCAGUUCAAACACAUCAUGAAAUAAACAAUGCCCUUCAUCAGAAAUGGUUGCCGCUACCUUAGCAAACAAAUUAGUCGAUUUAUGGCAGGAAUCAGAAGACGUUAAGAUGCGGUUAUCUGUUUGAAUGGAGGCUGCGCACAAAGUACUAAUUCUUUGGCGUAUAACGAACAACCAUGAUGUGAACAGUCAUCUGAACAUUAAUUUUGAAAUGUCUGACAUUGUAAAGUUCGACUACAGUAAAAGUUGUAAAAUGCAUUUUUUUGUACAAAAAACACUUCAUUU
rnacentral:lncRNA from 1 species